CUCCACUCUGGCAUGUACUCCACUGGGACCUGGCUCUCCCUGUGUCCCCAGCAAUUAGCACAGUUUACACUUGAGCAAUCAUUGUUUUGACCUGCCCUAAGUCUCGGCAUCCGGACUCCAUCACCCACCAUCUGUGCACUUGCCAGGAGGACCACUCAGCAUCUCUCCAAGCAAGCACCGGAAGUGGGUCUUGGCCAGAGGCCUAUACUGUGACAGGCAGCCAAGGGACAGAGACUUCUGUCACUCAUGGUCUCGAUGACCAGAGCUGAUCAAAACCAGUCACAUACAGAUUUAGUUGUCCAGAAUACACUCUGCUUUAUAAGGAGAAAAAGCAAAAUAGAAGAAACAGGGAGAAGAGGAGACACAAAUGAGAGAAUGUAGAAAAGAUCUGAGAGGACAAAAGGGAGUAAAACUGUAAAGAGAAAAAGAACCAAGAGAAAAUAAGCAGGAAGGAAAAGAGAAGGAGAAGGAGACGUUAGGAAUGGAAGUGCAUAGUCAAAGAGAAGCAACGUUCCUUCUGGAAAAAGCUGGCUAUUGCCAGUUAAGUUGUGCACUGAACUUUCAAGUUGUGUGCUUAAGUACUUUCAAUAUUAAAUAAAAUACAUACAUUCUUGAAGGGGGGUUGUUCCUCAACCAUAUGCAAAUAUUUAUUUGUGGAAGGCAUUUUCAUAGCAACUGGGAAUCAACAGAAAUCCCCACAAGCUCUACAAAAGAACAGCUUCACACUAUCAUUUUGAUAUUCCGGGGAGCCAGGGGUCACACUAGGACAAUAGUGACAUCAACAUGCUGAGGAGGUGGCCUCAAACUUGGGCAGGAAAGUGCUUGGUCAGCACCAGAGCAGAUGCACUAGCCUUGGACUGCCCAGCACAGGCACCGCCAUUGGGGCAAGCUGUUGGGAAUGAGUUCUUGAUUGCUUACCAGGUCAAGGAGAGAAGACUCCUCAAGCCUCCACAACACUGCAAGGCCCUUAUCUGUCCCAUACUUUUACCAACCUGGCCUAUCUUGACAAGUUUUGUAAUUUUUCAGAAUCUGUCAAGGGUGGAGAGAAGCUAUACCAAAGGACCUCACGUCCAAGCUCAUCUCUGGUGGGAGAAGAUCAGGGAUGAGGUCCCAGUUAUCUCUGGAUAUAUCCUCAGUUAUAUAAAAGGAUAAAAGAUCAAUAAGGGUGCCUAAGUACAACUUCCAAGCAAAGAAGAUUCUUUUCAUUAAAAGCCAAGGCCAAAUUCCAAAAACCAAGCUUCAGUUUCUCUUAUUUUGUUUCUUUGAGUUAAGCCCAAGCUCAUAGGUCAUAUUUUGACACAAACAUUGGCCUUUU
ensembl:lncRNA